rnacentral:lncRNA from 1 species
CUUGCUAGCUGCAAGGGGGGCUGGGAAAUGUAGUCUGUGGCUAGGCAGCCGCUUCCCAGUGACAACUGCACACGGAGGAGGGGGAGCAUGAGUGUUCAGUCGACAGGUGGCCAUCUUUGCCCCAGCUGGGAGCGGGCCUGAAGCAGGAAAUGCCCUGUCUCCAGCAGGUUCUAGGAACACGCUCCCACAUCUUCGCCCACGGGCUGUACAAGCAAAGGCGACGUGGGCCUCGAGCUGUAGUUUGCUGACACCUCCCCACCCUCUAAAUCCUCUGACAACCAGAAAGGACACCACUGGCACCGACGCCUUCUCCAGUCUGGGUUUUGCCUCCCAGAGGCCCGAGGCCACGCUGCUGACACCGGAGCCCCGCCUGGAUGCCUGGCUCCGGAAGACGGAGGAAGAGGCGGGGCCGGGCCCGGGCCUGCUCCCGGGUCUCCACUCAGACUGGCCACAUUGCAGUCGCUGCACACGGCAGGUGGCCCCCAAGUUGGACAGCUCAGGCCUAACCCAACCCUGAGCCCCAGCCCUUAACCCUAAAAGCUGCCUGAGUAACUACAAGAACCUCCAUCCAUCCUUUUCC